rnacentral:rRNA from 1 species
UACGUAGGGGGCAAGCGUUGUCCGGAUUUAUUGGGCGUAAAGAGCGUGUAGGCGGUCAGGUAGGUCUGCUGUGAAAACUCGAGGCUUAACCUCGAGCUGUCGGCGGAAACCAGCUGGCUAGAGUCCGGAAGAGGAGAAUGGAAUUCCCGGUGUAGCGGUGAAAUGCGCAGAUAUCGGGAAGAACACCCGUGGCGAAGGCGGUUCUCUGGGACGGUACUGACGCUGAGACGCGAAAGCGUGGGGAGCGAACAGG